GGACUUGGCUUUUAGGAUAAUCUGCUCAGCUAAAUAUGUACAGUUGUAUCGACUUUGUUGUUCAUUAUUGAUUCAUUUCAUGGCUCUUAUCCAGCCUCAUGCUCAAGAAAAAGGUAUUUCUCCCAGGCUUAAUGCGGGUUGCAUGACUUUCAUCCAUUAAGCACUUACAGUACGGUGGAUAAACUAAGCUGGUGUUGUUAUGGCUCUGGACAACCAAUACAAACCACAGGAUGAAGAAACAACAUUAAACUUUUCAUCCUCCUCAUCAUCUCCAUCUAGAGCUACAGUGUAGUUUCUGAGAAUCACUUUGUUAUUCGCCGAGUCGUGACUUAGUCUAAAGUGCAUUCUCAGCACCAAACGGGAAGUUUGUUGUUUUUCAGAAACUUGCUUAUCAUCUUCAUUCUGACAAUAGUUUCUGCAGCUGUACGACAGGAUUUUUAAAGCCUCUGAGAAGAACUUUUAAUUUGCCAUUGCCGUUGUGAGGAGUUAUCAAUGUUAUUUACUUCACCUGGGGGGAUAACGAUCCUCUCAUGCUAGUUGAAGCAAAAGUGAAGAAAUCAAAAGCAAUUGGGAUUCAUCAUCUGUGACCGUGAGCAAUAAUACCAAAAUUUCUUAUAAUCAGAGUCAGGAAUUGGACUCUGGUUUGCACAGACACAAACUCACUGUAGGGGAUUAAUAUUAAGACAUUAUCUGACUAACAGUCAAGACCAGUUUUCCUGGCAACAUAUCACGAGUCACCAAGAAAGUACAAACUGCUGUAAGAAGAUGCUAUGCAGAUACAAAAAAUCCAACCAUUGGCCCUAACAUUAUUAGGAAUGAUCAGAAGGGGAACUGGAAAUGUGUUGGGUCAUGGUUAAAACGAUUUGAUGAAUUCAUGGAACCAAUUAUUAAUCUAUCCUUGGAUUAAAUGAAGUACAUUUCCACUGUAUCACUGUGUGACCACUGUUUUUGAAUGUGCUACACUGCUGUCUUUCAACAGAGUUCUUUCAUUUAAUAUGUGCAAAGGGAAGAAGUCUGUAUUAGAUUGGUGUCAAGGUUUUACAGUUUCCUUAAUGGAGUAAUGGAAAGAUGAUCACACAAAUGGAGCCAGCCCCUCUGUGAUUCCACAUGGCUGCCUGAUUAGCUCUUUCUCACUGAUGGGAAACACAUGGCGUCCACUCAGCUUGUUCAUUUCAGGUUUGGGUUGGUGUGACACUCAAGAGCUAUAGAGCACUUUGGUUCUGAGCCCGGAAGGACAACCGUCAUCAGAAAUGUGUCCCCUACAGUCCCCCACUCACAACUGACUGUUAUUUAGCUUUUCAAUGGAGGCUGGCUGCUCCCAUGGGAGGGCAUGAGUGUGUCUGCCAGUGGGAAUGCAUUGGACGCAAUAGAGGAAGAUGGAGUAUGGGAUGGAGGAUGGUGAGUAGCUGCUCCUGCUGCUGCUGCUGCUUUUCCCUCUGUGUGAAAAUGAGUCCAUUAAUUCAGCUCCCCUCCCCUCGCCUCUCCCCCGGCCCUCCCUGUGCCUGUUGUCUCUGUUUGUUAGCGAGAUGAUUCCUUCUGUCAUGUCAAAGGCAACAUUAUCAUAUUCUUGUUGCCUGGGAAACCAGCGCAGAGAGAGACAACGACUUAAAGCCUUCAUGGUGUUUGAAGCUGGUAAACAUGAAUGGUUAUCUGUGGAGCUGUGAGAGUUAGAAACCAAACAUAUCUGAGAGAUUUUUUUGUUGUUGGGAUCUUUUUAUUUCUCGGCUCACAGAGAAAUUCCCUUUGGGUUGUUUGUUCGAUUCAGUUCAGUUCAACGAGAACAAGGCGUCACAUAGUUAACAGUUUCAAUUAACACUAAAGUACAACGAUCAAGUUUGAAUUUUUUUUUUUUCCCCCAUGAUUUGUCAAGUCAUAGGGUGAGAGUAAAAAGUGCUGAUAAUUAAAGAGAAUCAGAUUUUACAGCAGAGGAUAAUGUUAUAUGCAGACAAUAUGAUUUUCCAAAUGACUGGUGUGUACCGCUGACUGUGCCUUAAUGAACUGUACACACAUAAAGUUACAGAUUGUGCCUCAGGACAUGUGUAAAAUGCUCUGCCUCAAUGAAAUGACUUUUCACAGCUGUUUUAUGCUUCUAAGCAAGAAAUAAUACUUUACUACCGAUAACCGUAUUGGAACAAAUAGAGGAGGACCCAAUUAUACGACUAACUCUUGAAAGAGCUUUGAAGACUAGUUCUUAGUAUUAUACUUCAAAUCAUUUCAAUUGACAACAAAGCAAACACAAGUGCAAACACAUCAACCUUUUUUAAUUAAAUUGUCUCAUUUCAAGAGAAAACAAACAUGAUUCAAUUAAAUGAAAUGUGAUUACAUUAGUAAGUGAAGCACUCACUCUGUAAAAACUGCAGUCUAUAGCGGUCUAUAGCAGUACCUUGGUUUUACACCAAAAGUUAUCUCAGGGUUCUUUAUUCAUGAGUCUUUCACCUGUGCUCUAAUUGGUGGAGUGACAUACGUUAUAUAAUGUUUGCAUAUAUUUUAAUAGUUUUUUAAAUUCUGUUUGUUUAGUUUAGUUUCACUUUGUUUGUUUUGUAAUUGGAUGUCAAACUGGAUAUCAUCACCUUGCUGCUAAACAAAUCCACCUACAUGUACAAAUAAAGCAACCUGACCUGACUUAACCUGACCAUACCUUUCAAAUGUUUUGCAUAGUGGCUUAUGUCAAGAAGGGUAUAUUGGCUUCACAAAUAAGUCACUAUCUGUUUCAACUAAUAUUGACGUUAAGCGACUCAACGGCAAAUAUGGACAAUCUUGGCGAGGGGCCAUCUUGUAGUUGUGUGGUGGAAAUGCUGUUGCUGCCUGCUCCUUGUGCUGGGUUGAAACAGUGGACAGCCACUGAGGAAGGUGUUAUGAUAAGGCAAUUUUGAUGGCAUAUACAGGGGUCUGAGUAGAACAACAGCCUGAUCACAUUUCAUACAAAAAAGCAGAGAAAAUUACUUAAUUAAGUCAUGGUUUUUGUUUGGCACAACGUCAACGAAAGCAGUUAGGUCCACUGGUCCUAACAGAUCUCUUUUACACCGUUGUUGGUAGUGCAUUAACAUACUGUAAAAGUAGACAAGACAAUAGUAUCUUUAACAGCUUGCAUAAAAAUGUGCUGAUGUUGUAGGGAGACGCCCCCACAAUAAGAUAAGUUUGUUCCAUCACUUUUUCCAGCUGUAUUUUGAGUUGACAAAUCACUAUCUUCUAUUCAGGUCAGUGUCAAAGAAGAUACACAUACUGACAAUGUUUAGGUUUCAAGUUGUGAUCAUAUUCUCCUCUUACUUACACCUGUUAGAGUUUAUAAAUGACUCUUCAGUUAAAAGAACUGUGAGGAGUUUUAUCUGUUUUGAAACUCUCAUACUGAUGCCUCUUUAUGACCUUGUAGAGUGAGAUUAUCUAUGACAAGUCUGGUUGUUGUUUUUUUAAUACCCAGUGCCUGAGCCUGUGUCAGGGUCAGAUUGUCAGCUAAAAAAGAUAAUGUUCAGCUCUCACUCAGAGCCGUUCUUUGAGCCCUGAUGGUGAAAUCUGGCAGUGAGUAGUAAGUUACCAAAUAUGAGGAUUUUUUUUUCUCUGAAUCAUUUUCUUUUUACAUGAUGUUUUUUUACUCAUGACUGAUACCAGAGCAGGAUAGGGAUUAUGUUUUAUUUUUUUGUGAAGCACUGCUCUAGACAGAAAAAAUGCAACCAGGGAAAUGGCUCUGAACACGAUAUAAUGUAUAUUCAGGUGUGGAAAUUGUUCACUGCUCUUUGGGGACAAAAGCAUUGAAAAUCAGUACAUCUAGAAAAACACUUCCAAUGUAGCACCAUGUGUAACUACAUUAUUAACAUAUAGAUGUCAAUUCAAGGCUUCAUCGCACAGUGCAACCCCCAUGUUGUUUAGCUAUCAUCAGAGCUGAUGUUCUAUGAAUGUAAAUGCUCGUAAACCAAUAACUGAGCCAUUCAUUCAAUCAUAAAAUAUGUAGUGUUAUUUUUCACCCAUGGUGACCUCUUCUGAAGUUCAAGUCUGAAAUAAAAACAAUAUGGACCCAGUGCUACAGUAACAGCCCAAUCAUGUUCACAUCUACAAGCUAAUCUCUGCUCGUAAAUAAAAAGGCAAAGGCAAAUUGUGAGCCAUUUUAUGGGAUAGUGAGUUAUCUUAUUAGGUUGUGAGUCAUGUGAGGUAAAAAGUGAAAAUGAACUAACAUUUGAAAUAGUGAAGCAAUAGUUAUGGGGAAAAAACAAAAGUGAGAGAGUGAGUAAAAAAUGAGAUAGAAGAAAUGUCUCCAAUAAAAAAAAAAAAUUCUUGAAAUGUAAAAGUUAAAAUUUUAGAUAAAGAUUUAUUAUGAGAUGAUUAUACUUAGUUACUUUGACUUUUAUGUCAGAUUUCAGAAUUCUCAUCUCAUCAUUACGAUCAUUAAGAAUUUGGACUUUUCAUUUCAUAACUAUGACUUGCAUAAUAAUUUUCAUCCUAACUGCAGACACAUCAGAGCUCUUUAAGUGCACAUGCAGAUGGACCCUGUUAGUGUAUCUUUAAGACAGAUCUAAGCCAGCUGAAUGUGGCAUGGACUGUCAUUAGAUGAUUUAAAACCCUCUGAACUGCGGUAGUUUUUCUGCCUUAGCGUCUCAGUCUGAUUGCAUUUCCAUGAAGAAAUGAUCAUAAAUGUUCUUCCUUGAGCUGCGUCACCCCACUGUAGUCCGUAAUGGAUUGGCCCGAGGUCUCACUACAAACAAGUAGCUGCUGGAAGAGAGGAGGUGAGUUGUGUUUUGAGUCUUUGCUUAAGAAAUCAGGUAAAGCUAAAAAGAUGUUUGGUGGCUGGUGCUGUGGCUGGGACCCUAUGUACUGUUGAUGAAGUUAGGUGCUGUUCUGAGCAUUAUUUGUGGCUAUAAAGUGGCGUUUUGGUUGAGGUUUGUGUGUGGCUCCUGAGACCGCUGUGUAUUGCUAUUGUGCGGUCUAACUGAAGUUGGUAUAACUAGAGAAGCAAGCUGUCGGCAACAUUCAUCUCUCGAGGGGGUGUCUAACUCAGUGUUACGGUGUGUUUGACCCUAACUUCAUUUUACGCCAGAAUAUCCCUUUAAAAUCCACUACAGCUGAAUUAUUAGACUUGUUGCUAAUGGUCUUGUCUGACGUUGAAGGUCAUUAAGAGGUAUCAUCAGUUUCUCAACCAGUCCUGAUCCCCUCACAGUGCCUUUAAUAUGUUAGAUUUGCCCUCCUGUCAUAGAAACAAUAGCAUUAAUAGGAAGUUUAAACAGGUGGUAAUUUGCUGUGUUGGUAAGCAGGUUGGUUUCCCUCAUUAAUAACCACCGCAUUCAAAUCACGGUCCGUUCAGUGUGGUUAAUCCAGUUCCGUAUCUUCAGCCCGGACUCCAUGGACUGUGACAGUUCAAUCCGACUGGAACGCCUCAUCCUGGAUUUCCUCCCCGCUCCCGCUGCUGCUGGUUGGCUACAUUGUAUCAGUUCCCACACGAAGAACCACCGCGGUGCUCAUCCAGAAACGGUGAAUUACGGAGGAAUUAACCUGGAUGGAACACUACUCGCUGUGGGAUUAAUCGCCUGAAGGUGACGGGAAGGGAAUGGACUCGUGUCGGGCUUGAGACGGCACCGAUAAAAUGCCCUCCGGACUGGGUUGUUUUCGAUGUGGACGGUAUCUCCAAGUGUGAUGGCAGAAGUCCAGUGAAUCGCUGGCCUCCCCUCCUCUCUUGUGUUGGAUGUCUUGGGGAGUGCGCUGCCACUGGUUUCUGGUGCUUCAGAUAUUUUAGUGCUUUUACUGCCGUUGAAACCCUUUUCCUCUAAAUUGUUCUUUUUAUAUGGAGUGCACACCACCAUGGACAGAGCGGGGUUUGGAAUAGGAGUGGUUAGUUAAGUCGGUAAGUUACUACAUUUUCCUCCUUUACCCCCUCACUCUCUCAUUGUUGAUAGUGCUACGACUCGUUAGCCAUUUAACAUUAGCCUUGCGUGCAAGCAGAGCUGGCUAGCUUCACACCAUACAACCAACACAGCAUGCAGCAGCAGGCGAGCCAAGCCUGACUACACUCUGAGCUCAUUGUUUCACUCUGCCAGAUAGCGUACUAGUCACAUUAGCUCAUUACACCAGGCUAAGUUAGCCCUGUUAGCUGCCUGAAGUUCAACCGGGGGGUAAACAUUUAAACCGGUCGGCUUACUUAAUGUGCCCUUGCGCUGAAACACCACUACUAACUUACUGACUAAAUAUAAGUUGAGGAAACGGGUGCGCAAAGAGAAAAACCUCGCUCCUGUCUGUCUGCAGUAAUAGCCGUCUCUUUAAAGUCCAAUGUAAGCUUAAAAAGCUGUGUGACAGGGGCGAAUUGAGACUCUUUAGACCCAAGGUGGCCAUACCCAGGCUACUGUGGCCACCUUGGGGGGCAACCACAGAAAUAAAUGAAUAUUUACCACAUCCCUCUCCUUUUUUCUCUCGAUUAAUUAGCCCUGGUUUCAUUAAUUUAAUUGCAUUUCAUGGCAGGCUUUUUGCACAUGCUUGUUUUUCCUUUCCUGCCACUCAAGAUUGGGCAAGAAUGCUCUGCAGCAACAUGACAACUCAAAAAUAGGUUUAAAACAAAACCAGGAUUAAGGGUUAAACAUGGUUAAUCAGCUCAGUGUGUGAAAACAAAAACAGUGUAUCAACUGAAAAUGUCUGUAGUAUAUCAUUUUAUGAAAGAAAUAGGUGUAAAGAUUUUUGACUUUGGCUCCCUGCAACUUGAAUUUUUUAAUGCCAAAUUGAACUUGUGUUGGGGGAAAGGCCUUUGUCUAGCAGGGUUGUUGUCUGGCGAUGUUGUGUAAUUAGUGUGCCUCAAUAUCAGCAUCUUGAAGAGGUAAAUAUUUAAUUGGAAUAGAUCGUAGUAUAUCUAAAUAGAUGAUACAGAAUUUGUAUUUAUAUGGAUUUCAGUCCAUAUUGGUUAAAGGUAGGCACUGUGAGGAGUUUUCAAUAGGUAAGCCCACCUAUUAAAAUAAGUUGAGUUUCCGAGUACAAUUGUAAAUGUUCAAAGUUAAAUUAAGAGGCCCCACUUUUCUGAUAUGUUUCAGGCUCAAAACAUCACCAGUAAGUGUAAAUUUGUGUAAACGUAGUUUAAACUGAAGAUCUGCUAGUAGCUUGAUGCAGUGUAGCCCAAAUGGUGGUCCAGACCCUGAUAAGGCAAAUAGCAGGGGUGCAAUUUAUAACUUAAGAGGGUUCAUGCCCCCCUGGCCACCUCUGAAUACACCCCUGGUGAUGAAGAACUUAGGACCACUUCAGGGGUGUUUUGUGAGGAUAAAUGUUUCUGAUUCUCCAGGUUUAAAAAGCGGGUAUGAAUAUAUGCGUUGAGAGUAUAUAUGACCUUUUUAUUUCACUUCUUCUCCCAGUGCCAGAGUGACAAUGUGAACUGUGUAUGGAACAAGUGAGGUCCAUUAGAGCAGUCUUUUCGAGGGAACCUGAGGGGACAAGAGCUCAUGAAAGAGUGGACUGUGGUCAAAUAAAACCCCUUGUUAGGGCUUUCUGUCAGAAAACUUUAGGAUCCUCUUUUCCAUAUUCUUUUUGUUGGCUGUUGUUGUUGGGCUUUUCUCCUUGCAGUGAAGUGACUCAUUCAAUUAAAGCCCAAUAUUUCUUUACAAGACCACUACGGGCUAACCCUGUGGUCUGUGCUGCUCUGUAGAGGAUGACAGCACCAUGUUCAAGACUAGACAACCGAUCUGCAGCCCAACAGUGCUUUGAGAAAAUGCUAGAAAUGAAAGACUGGAAUAAAACUGGAUUUGAGCAAGAGUAUGAAUGUUAAGGUAACCCAGAUGAAGAUAUCAGAAUAGAAAAUCAGUAAUAGUUUGGCUUUAGGGACCAGUACUCUCGGGGGUUGGCUCAUGUGGACCAGCUGGAAUGUGUGUUUUGUUGUUAAAUGGGUUUGUACAAUCUAUAAUCACCUACUCUCAAAGUUAUUUCUUCACUCAAGUGCAACAAUAAACAAGAGAAACUUGAUUUCUAUUUUGGCUGUGAAGCAUUUACUUGUUCCCUGACUCAAUCUGCAGCUACAUUCAGAUAUUAGUUUGGCAGCUUUAUUGAGUGGGUGUGGCAGAAACUCAGCACUGGUAGCCAUUAGAUAUGACCUGAAAUCACACAAUUAAAAUAACACCUGACUGUACCAGUAAUUCACUCAGCGUUCGUGUGUCACGCUAUGAUUAUGUCUGGAUGGCGGUAGCAGGAAGCUUUGAGUCGACCUGUUGGUUUGUUGAGUUGUUGAGUCUGCAAAUUGGCGUCCUUUCGAAGCCAGACCACCUCUGUGUGAGUGAGGUAGAUCAAUGUCUGGCAAUUAAAUCCAACAAAGCCUGGUGGUGUUUGUGGGUCAUUUCCUGCUGCUGAUUGUUUGCUCAUUUUGAACUUGAGCCAUACAGGCAGCGAUACGUGAACACUGCAUGCGUUCUUCCUGAGCAUGCACAACAGUCAUAGUAGUGAUAGUAACAUUAGAUGUGUUAGAAAAGCAGUGAAAACAUCAUCUUUGACAGUUCAUUCUGAAACAUUAUCUUGUAUCUCAUAUGAUGGUAGAUGAUACAUAUUGCACACCUCUACUUGUCAAACUGCAAUCAUUACAAGACUUAGAAGUGAAACACUUCUAACCUCAAAGGAGUUCUCAUUGCUAAUGAUUUCCACCUAAUUUAAAUUAUGAUAAUUAUUAAGCUGGCACAAUUACAGUUGGAGCACUGCUGUUCCUGUUAAUUUCAGUCCUUCUUCUGAGCCAAUGUGUUACAUUUUUUGUUCUGGGUUUAUUCUAACAAGUAAAACUCGACUCCCUGCGAGGCAGAGAGCCGGUAAUGCCUCCUCUCCAGCUGAGUACUUUUUCAAAGCCAGUUUCUCUCCAUUUGAUUACUUCGAAUCAUUGUAAGUAUGUACGGAGCCUUGUUGGAGCACGCCAGACACAUUUUAUACAAUCCGGCAGAGCCAUCAAUCGUCGAGUAGAAGUGAAAUCUAAGACUCUAAGCUCUACAAAAGAACCUGACCUUUUAUAGUUGUCAGAGGUGUGUAAAUUUAAUCAGCACUCGGGUAAGUGCUGUAGAUGAACGUGAGAACAGUGACUAUUUGGGAAUUUCCCAUCCCCUUAUUCACCAGUUUGUGAUGGCUAAGCUGCUGGGAUGUGACCUUCUCUGAUUAGGGGAGCGUGAAAACAGCUGAUGGUGACAGUGACUGAUGUAUCUGAGCUGCUUUUAAUCAAAUGGGUUUCAGAAUCAGCUUUAUUGACGUGGUACGUUUAUCUGUUUCUGUCUACCAAGAGGAAAUUUGAGCCCUUAAGCAUGUUCCAGAAACUCCAGAGUGUUUAAAAAUGUUGCUCAUCUUUUUGACUCUUGUAAAAUCUGUUCCAAAGCAAAGCUGCGUAUCAGAGAAGCUAAGUGGAGGAAGAGAAUUUAACAGUGUUUGUUCAGAGGUCCAGGGCAUCAGAUUAGUCCAGGACAAGGGGAUUAUGUUGGCUUUGUAAGGCUCCCGUCAUCUCAUGGCUGUGCACCAGCUGAUGGCAAAGUAAGAAAGGAUUUAGCUUAUAUCCUUAAAGGUAGCUGGUAAUUUGAAUUAUUUAAACUAUCUUUGCAUCCUCUUUACUUUUGCUGAGUGUCUCCGCAUACGCUCUCUUAGUCUCUGCUCUUAUGCCGGUCAAGAAUAAGCACUGCAUAUGCAUACAUUAAAUCCCUUUGUGCAGCGGGGAGUCCAUAUUAAGCCUUAUGAUAUAGCUCAUGUUGUUAAGCAGGUUGAGGUGAGAUGGAGCACCUUUGUAGCGUUAAACAUCAGACAGUGUUUUCCCAAGGUUGAGAUUUAUUUGAAGUGGUCCUCCCUUGAUGGAGGGGGAUGGGCUUGUUUAAGUGCUGGCUUGGAGCUCACACAUCCAGCAAAGCUUUAUAGGACCUGACUGCCAGACAGCAGUCAGUAAAUGUAACUUCAAAUCAAUGCACUGACAUUUUACCUGCUAUUCUGGACUGCAUUUACAAAGGAAACCAUUAAGAAGAGGAAUUAAUCCAUAUGGCAUUCAAGGUAGAGUCCCAGGAUCUUUCCAGUCCUUGAGAUUUCUGUGGAAUACUUGAUCCUAAUUGGUCCAACUUUCUCCUACUUUCUCUGCGCACUUUGUUUCAAGGAGGCUUACAUUAAACCGCUCUGCACUCAGUAGAAACAUGCUGACUCUAUCUCUAUCAAGGCUCCACUGUCAGAGGUUACAAGUAAAGUUGCCUAUUGUAUUUUGUUUAAUAUCCACAGAGAGGAGUGUUGUCUGGUGUGGGUGGACGGUUUGCGCCGUAUUUGGAUCGUCUCUUCAUCCCAAACAGAAACACAAUGUUCAGGUUCAAAUACGGCUCGCAGCAGCUGUAACAGGCAUCGCUAUUCUCAGACGCACCCAAGAACUCUUAAAAAGCUGCAUAGAUAGAGCGGUUGUAGACAGAUUUACAGCGUUAACAUUAACACUGUAUCAUACUCAUCCACCCUCUGUUCAGAAACGUUUAGAUGAAGUAGUUUCUUCUACUUAUGCAAACAAAAGAUCUGGAUGCAAACUCAGUUUUGCAAGAUUUCAGAUUUCUGUCAAUGCCAGUAUACCUCAAAGUGUAUGUCUAAUAUCUACUAAUGCACAGCAGGCGGGCAUGUGCUGAUGAAAACAGGAAGAGGGUGGUCUAUUUUGUGGUUCCUUGUGUCGUUUUCAGAAAGAAACACAAACAGAAGACCUGAGAAUUUGGUUUAGAUUGAUGAUGUGGUAAAUUGACGACUUCCAGGACCUAUAAACCAACCACCAGGUUUCUGCAUCAGUGUUGUCUGCAAAGAGCAAGGCACAAUCUUGAUAGCUGUUCUUAUUCUAAUCUAUUGCCUUGUUUAUUUUCUCCAGCUGUCAUUCAGUCCAUAAAGCUGACUAUGAGCGACAGCUGUCAUGUGAACUGUAUCGUCACAUCACUGGUCAAAGAAUCAGCGACUCUGUUUUCGUUUUCAUGGCGUUGGUUGGAUUUCUUGCAAGCGGAUUGCCAAUUACAGCAGAAAAAGAGCUCGCUCUGGAUGCUUGUUGCGCAGUUGCUUCUUUGCCAGAGAGCGGUGAUCCAUCUUUUCCUGGGAAGCUGGCCCAGGUUACACUCAACUCUCCCCCACAUAAGCCAUAAAGAUACUGUCAGCUUUUGUGGUUCUUUGCAGUCUUGAGUGCUGCAGAAAUGCUGUCUCAUUUGCCUUCAUUUCUGGCCCUCUUAUGUUCUUCGAAAGAAAGGCCACAGAAACGAAGCUCUAAUUCAAGAUGCUGUUUUUCUAGCACAGAAUAAUGAAGCUCUGUCAACCUGCAUCAGUAUAUUUAACACCCUAUUGCUCCAGCGCUGUCGUCAUUCAUCCGCUCACAAGCAGCAUGACCUCGUUUAGCUCUCUCGCCUCACUUGUUACCAACACUGGUGAUCUUUUCACUGCGAGUUAAGCUUGACAAUUAUCCAUCUAGAGAUGGUUGUUGAACAUGGUGUUGGAGAGGAAUUGGCACUUUAUUGUUGAGAUGUGUUAAAGCUGCUCUGCAGUGUGAUACACAAUUUGUUGACAGGAAGCAAAUAAAUCUCAUGUGCCUCCAGAUGUUGUGAGCUUGUACUGCAGCAGUCGGUGCUUUAAGACAUCAGACAAAAAAAGUGUGAAUGCUGUUUUUUUUUCCUUAUAUGUGUAGAUUAAAUCAUCAGUAAUGAAGCUACUUUUGACUAUCUGUUAUUGUCAUUUCUUGUUAUCGCUCUGGUCACUCUCUGCAUAACCUGAAUUUCAUUUAAAUUUGUACAUCUUAAAACGCCAUAAAUUAGGUUUUGGUUAUAAAGAUUUUUAGUGGAAGUCAAGCCAAUAACAGUGAAGCUGUUUCCAACAGAGAAAGGAAGAUAAGUUUAACACCACACUUACUGGAGCAUGGUGGGGCAGUCUGGGGCAGACUUAAAUCAUCAUAACUCUAAAUAAUUAUUGAUUUAAUCCUGGUCUAUCUGUGGUUGAUGGUGGAGUGAUAAGCGUUAGUGUUACUAAAGUGUUACUAAAAAAUCGGGUUGUAAACAAGACCUCAAGAGAUUAAGAAGGGGGGGAUGGGUGGUGAAAAUUCUAUCAGUAAUAGAUGCUGAAAUAAAGCCUGUUACCCCCACUCUCUUGCUGCUCAAGGAGCUCGUUUGUUACUUUCAUGUUACCUUACGUAACCUGCGCUACUGGCUGUAUAGACCUUGUAUAAUCUUGAACAUUUUGAUCCGCUUGUUGAUGACUCAAAACAAGUCAAAAAUAAUGCUGUGUGUUGUUGUGCAAACAAAGUGCGAGCAGAAAUCAUUUUGCGGCGCAUUGAUAUUAAUGCUGUGAAUGCUACUCGUGUGUAUAAGCUUGAUCGUUACCUUUCAUGUUGUUGGAAGAGGGUCUGACAGGAUUUGACAUGCUCAUUGAUGACUCAAAACAAGUCGGAAAUAAUGUUGUGUGUUGUUGUGCUCACAGUGCGAGUAGAAAUCAUUAAUGGUGCAUCGAUGAUCAUGUGAAAUUUCAGUAGCGGCGCAUGUAAUUCAGCAGGUGUUGCUGAAUGACUAGGAGAAACACUGUAGUCCCAUUAGCCUCUUGCUAAUGCAUUUAGCUUACUGUUUAAAUUUGCAUUAGGUCUAUCAGGACCAGACCAGAUGACCAGAUGGAAACAAGCUUACAGAAGGCGUGUCAUCACCAACAGUGCAGAGGCAGACAUGCUUCUGUCAGCAAUUCGAUUUUUGCCUAGUGCUUUUAAACCGGGACAGGGACAGAGAUCCAGUGAAAUCGCCUAUUCUAUCCUGAACCUCAGCUCGACUUCGAAUUCGUUUUGGCACAUCUCUCUGACAAAUAAAACUCCCAAAUGAAAAGUAAUAUGAACUUGGCAUCAAACAGGAUGAAAAUCUUAGCAAGUACUCAAGCACCUCACAACCUUUGAGCUAAGCAUGCAGGUGCAGCCAACCACCAGUUGCUGCAUACACAUGGAUGAAACCUAAUCUAGGAAUGUAACAACGGUGCUCGUUGUCUGCAGACCAGUCAACAUUCAUGGUAAACUUUCUGAAGUUUGCUGCACAUGUUGUUCUUGAAUACUUCCUGAUGUGUAAAAACAAAAGUGGUUAACAGAAUGGGCUUUUUGAAGCCCACCUCUAAGUCGUGCUUUCAGCCCACACUGGUGUAGCAGUGCAGCACUGAAUAAAUAAUGAACAUAAAAGUCAAGAAGAUCAUAAACUACAUGUCGCUGUAUUCAUCUGAUUCCAAGACUCUGGUGUUAACAGCUCCCAUUAUUGACUUGAAAUGCAAAAUAAUAGAAAUGUAGACCUGAUUUAAAAUGCGAUAAAUCAUGAUUAAGUGUUUAGAUCUAUUGAGAUUCAUUAAUUCAAAGCGAUUAAAAUAAAUCGACAGCACUAAUUCCACCAGAGCUGUGUGGCCAGUUUUAACAGCUGCCGAAGAAUCCUCUAUCUACAGAUCCUGAUUUGUACUGUCCUUAUUCCUUACAUGUCAAAAUGAAAUAUCAUCCAAAGACCUCGAAUUUGUCACCAAUGUCUCAAAACAGCCUCUAAAGGCAUCCUGGCAACUGUUAGUGUCGAAACUCGUGGUGUUUUAUAAAGAUAUGUUUUUGAGUCGGGCUGGCUGUCAAGCAAGAAAAGGUCUGUGAAGAUGUGAUGUGUGGGAAUUCCUCCGAGCACAUCAAUACUUGAGUGCGGUGACAGCGAGUGGGUGGUUCUGAGGCUGUGUCCCCGUUGCCCUUAUCAAACUGCAAAAUCCUCAGUCAUCUGUACAAUCAAAGAGAAAACAGUCAUCUCUCCAUGCAAUGACACACGCCUCGUCUGUGUGAUUUUGAAGAGAGAGCAAAUUGGAGAUCAUCCUCGAAUGGCGAAAUUGCUGCGGUUGACAGUAAAAACAGAUGAACUCCAACCCGAACGUCAAUACCCUUUUGAAAAAGUAGGAAUUAUUUUUUGUCCUACAGCUGUGUUAAUGUUAACAGAGCUCUGCUGCUCUGUUUCAUCUCACAGCCUGAGUGCACAUGGCAGCAGAUGAAAGGAGGAAGAAAGACAUUUUACAUCCAUUUUAGUUUAAAACAUAUUCCCGUCAGAGCCGCUCGGGGUUAUAGACCACUGAAGUGUUGUCAUUCCUGCUCGCACUGAUCAUGACCAGCUCCUUUUACAGAGCAUGGGUAAAGACUUAACUGGGAUCACAGGCUUGAGCUGCUUUAUUCUCUACGACAUAUUAAUAUCAUGGGGCUGCUUUAUUAGGUAGUAAAGUGGAAAGAGUCUUAAACAGAAAGAAAUCUCUUUAAGUCUUUAAAAUAAACGAGAACUGGGUCUUUUUUCGGUUUUUAUAUGUUUCGCUUUACAUUCGAAUCAUGAUUACCAGGUCAGAAAACCCUCAUUAAAUGGACCAAUUUUAAUUGAAACAGUCAGAUUUGGCAUGUAGACCAAGCAAUCCUAUGAGGGCCCUCAAGGUUGGACAGCAAUGGUUGGCCAUUUGCCCCCCCAGUUACCAUAUCAACCAUUUAGAGCAGUCUGCUUUCUGUUUGUGGUCAGCGGCACGCCAAGCCUCUGUGUUUGGCCAAAAUGAUUGACGUCAGCAGAUAUGUGAAUUGGGGGUGAGUUGUUAAAUAAUCUGAAAAAUAAAUGUUUAUAGAAAUAAUUUGUUGUUCUAAGCUCUGUAAGGGUGAGGUGCUGGUGCUGUUCUUGGUCGUACAUCUUGUUGUUGUUGGUUGUAAAAAAUUAGGAGUCAGCGCACCAGUUUAGACCCUGGAGCAGGAACUAUUUUUUCCCUUUUGACAUAGCGUUGUCAAACUGCCGCAGAGUCCCUGGAUGCAAAAUACCUUACACUUCUGAGUAAAACACUUAGCUUAAAAAAACACUCCAAGACGGCUCAGUUGACAAGCGAAAAUGGGCCAAGUCAACAAUGUGGGAGAGUGGUAUGAAGGGACGUGCUCGGGUUGGCGUGUUAUGAUAGGCUUUAUUGUUAUUUAGAGGAUAGAGUCACACACACAGGGCAUAUAUGAAACAGAAUAAUCAUAUUUAGCUACACUGUUGAGAAUUACUUAAAAAAUGCUUUGAAUUAGAAAAACAGCAUGAUGUUGAUAAGGGGAGAGUAGAUUUAAAGCAUUAAAGGGCAAAUCAGGCGAUCUAUACCUCAAAGCAACAGCCUCCGCUCGCCCGUUACAGGAUAAAAUCCCCCGUAAAGACUUUAAACAAGUCAAACUGUGACGCUGCAGGUGGUAAACACUGUUUUCCCCCGACUCCAGCUUCGCCAACAUGAUGCUCGCUGCACAUACAAACCUCUCUGCUGCGGACGUUUGUCUAAACAGUCACAGAAGCAAUCUUGUGGCUUUAACGUAAUUGGAUUGGACUGUCCCGACUGGUUUGGAAAAAUAUGGGCGUGUAACAUUUCACUCAACAGCUUAAGGCAGAUUUAUGCCUCAGUGUUGAGAUGUUGUGGUAUUUAUGUGCGGGGCAACGGACACAAUACUGGCCACAUGGAGACCACAAGUGUUGUAAUUGGACAGCUUGUCGUACAUUUUUUCAAUGCUGGUGGUUAUUUGUUGAUAGAGGAGACAACUUAGAGCUGGUUGAAGCACUACUAAUCCUCCUUUUCAAUAACGUUAGACAAAUGUGGGUUUUGUGAUUGAGCUUAACCUCCAUUGACAGACAGUUUCUAACUCUGCUUUUAAGAGAGGGGAUAAAUGAAGGCAAACCUACUUACUCUGGACGUACAAUAAACGUCUGGCAUGCAUGAUAAUCUACUGUGCAUCCAUCUUGCGAGGACGCAGUUCCACGUGAACAACUGGUUCUGACAUAAAUCAGAUCCUGAGCUGCGGGCGCUCUCAGCAGGAAUGGUAGGAAUCGUAAAUUGAGCUUUAGUGUUAUUAGCAGUAAAGUGAGAUAUUGGGAUCCUCCAAGCUGUGAAUAUAUCAAGUUUUAUAUGAAGAUGUUACAUGAAGGCAGAAGAAAAGCACCUGUGUCACAGUCUCAUUGUAAGCAGAAUGGAUGUCUUCGGUUUUACUGUAAUCGGCAAGAAGCUGACGUAAAAAGGAAGAAUGUGCUGUCAGUCAGUCAGUCAGUCAGUCGAGGUGUUUGCUUUGCAUUUUAAUUUGGCAGCUUCUGUAAAAGAAGAUUGACGAUGCUGGAGGAACAGACAGCAGACAGGUUGGAAGAGGAGCUGCUGUGGAUGGAUAGCUAAAGGAAAAAAGAUUACAGACGCAGGCAGAGGAAAAAAGCGAGCAAACCCAGCGGCCUCGCUUAAUUUUCAGGGUGAUGGAGCAUUUGAGCUCUGACCUGGCUGACGUGCGAUUUCGCAGGUGGACGCACAUGUAACCUUGUCACUUCCUGCAGUGGGUGACCAAACAAUCAUGGUGGCAGCAAAUAUGUAAACAAGGCUGUCAGAUGUCUAGAUGGGGCGUUACGUAUUCAAUCUGACAUCAGAGUGCCGUGUUAGUGUUCUGCUGCAUGUAACCGCAGCUGUUGCCGUUUUUAGGAUCGUGUGAAACAGAAUAAAGAGCUCGGUUUGCUCUGUGUCGAAAAAUUCAAGAUGAGGGAUAAUGUGAGUUGAAAUGUGGGAGUGAACUGGAGUGAAAAGGUUAAGCAAACAUCCAGUAAGCAAUUACUCAGUAUUAGAGAGUAGAGAAAUGCGAAUGCACCGAGCUUCACCAGUGUACUUCUAUCUCCAUAGUGGGUGUAACUAAAAGAGGAUGUUUCACUAUCAGUGGCAUGCUACUCCUCCCCGGUCUUAUAAGCCGUUUCCAGCAAUGCGACAGUGAUGGAGAGCGUGCGUUAGUGUGAGCACGCACUGUCAGAUGUAACAGCUCUUUUGGGGGUUUUAGGAACCAGAUUAAAAGGACGGGUGUUCAGGAUUAAGAGGCAUCCAGCGGUAAGGCUGCACAUUGUGGUUGAAA